rnacentral:lncRNA from 1 species
GGAAGCAGCACAAAAUUGGCAUUGGUACGUGUGGGUGGGAAGAGGCCCUGCUGAGCACAGAGACUGCUGAUUUAUCAUACCCAGCACUGAGGGGGUUCCCAAACUAUGGUGGCAACAGAUGGCAAGACCUUCUGUUAAGGACAAGACAUAGGGAAGAUAGAGGAGGUUGGCAGGAGAAACCUUUAAAGAAUGAGAGAGAAGGACACAGGCAAAACCACCUUUAUAUAGUUAACCAGAAGGAAGAAAAUGUUUGGUGAGAGGGCAACACAGUGUCAUGUUUUGAGAGGGUGGGAGUUGUCAUUCAUAGAAAUAGAAGGGUAAGGUCUCCUCCCCUGUAUUGUGGCAACCUUUCCUCCUCCUCAGCCUUGUGCAUUUUUGUAUUGAUUGAUGAGGGCUGUCAGCCAGGAACUGAUCGAGGCUUGUUAAUUGCAUUUGUCAAAUGCAGGGAAAUUGGGAAUUAGUAAGAUCGCAGAAGGGAGUUUGGAAAACAAAUGACUCUUGUGCCUUAGGAGAUUCAU